rnacentral:rRNA from 1 species
AAUCAACGCUGGCGGCGUGCCUCAGACAUGCAAGUCGAACGCGAAAGUUCCCUUCGGGGGAUGAGUAGAGUGGCGCACGGGUGAGUAACACGUAGGUAAUCUACCUUUGGAUGGGGAAUAACAACCGGAAACGGUUGCUAAUACCGCAUAAUGCAGCGGCACCUAAUGGUGACAGUUGUUAAAGCGGGGGAUCGAAAGACCUCGCGUCUGAAGAGGAGCCUGCGGCGGAUUAGCAGUUGGUAAGGUAACGGCUUACCAAGGCGACGAUCCGUAGCCGGCCUGAGAGGGCGGUCGGCCACACUGACACUGACAUACGGGUCAGACUCCUACGGGAGGCAGCAGUCGGGAAUUUUGGGCAAUGGGCGAAAGCCUGA